CUUUAUCUUUUCUGCAUUUUAUCUCUGCUCUAGCUUGCUUCCUUGUAAUAAACCCUUUGUUCUUUUGUAAAUUCUAUGUGCUAACAUUGUUGGCUCUGUGACACAUUGCAUGUUAUUUUCUAGAAGAUCAUCAUGCUGGUUGGCCUGCUGCACCCCCUGUCCAAGACAAUCUCAUUCUCCACGGCUAUGAACUCGACUAAUGAGAUGUCAAUCAUUUGACCCUGUGGUUCUUCAGGACAAGAUCUUGAUGCCAUCCACACUGAACAUGACAUCGUACAUGACGAAGGUUUUCUGGAAUCCACAGCGGAAGGGAUCAAGGCAUGAGAUGUUGGCUUGGACAGAUGUACCUGUACACCACACCGACCUCUGCUUUUGCAUGGAUGGCUGAUUACUAUCAUGUUCUGUAUAAGUUUUAUAAUAGCAAAACUGAGCACCUUCGACAGUGGUAGAUGUAAAGUAGUCAGACAUCAGUACAUUUAAAGUCACAGAGAGAAAGUUUUUUAUAUAAGUAUAAAACAAUUU